rnacentral:rRNA from 1 species
UAGCGGCGGACGGGUGAGUAAUGCUUAGGAAUCUGCCUAUUAGUGGGGGACAACGUUUCGAAAGGAACGCUAAUACCGCAUACGCCCUAYGGGGGAAAGCAGGGGAUCUUCGGACCUUGCGCUAAUAGAUGAGCCUAAGUCAGAUUAGCUAGUUGGUGGGGUAAAGGCCUACCAAGGCGACGAUCUGUAGCGGGUCUGAGAGGAUGAUCCGCCACACUGGGACUGAGACACGGCCCAGACUCCUACGGGAGGCAGCAGUGGGGAAUAUUGGACAAUGGGGGGAACCCUGAUCCANCCAUGCCGCGUGUGUGAAGAAGGCCUUUUGGUUGUAAAGCACUUUAAGCGAGGAGGAGGCUCUUCUAGUUAAUACCUAGGAUGAGUGGACGUUACUCGCAGAAUAAGCACCGGCUAACUCUGUGCCAGCAGCCGCGGUAAUACAGAGGGUGCGAGCGUUNAUCNGAUUUACUGGGCGUAAAGCGUACGUAGGCGGC